rnacentral:pre_miRNA from 1 species
GUAGUACUCCCUCCAUCUGGAAAUACUUGUCAUCAAAAUGAAUAAAAGGGGAUGUAUGUAGAUGUAUAUUAGUUCUAGAUACAUCUUUUUUAUCCAUUUUGAUGACAAGUAUUUUCAGACGGAGGGAGUACUUG